rnacentral:misc_RNA from 1 species
GUAGCUUGGCGUGAAGUGGAUAUGAGAGGUACAAAAUUGACCGCUGACAUGGCAAUCGAGCAGGGUAUCGUCGUCUCCGCGCACCAGGGUGCAGCGGAGACGAUGAAGGAGGCUAUAAAGCUUGGGGAGGUGUUAAUGGCGAGGAAAUGGGAUGGGAAAGUUUACGCACAUAAUAGGAAGCUUGUGUUUUCAGAUGUAUUGGUUGUGCUAAACAAUGAGAUUGCAUCUAGAUUGUAAACAAGUAAGUUGGAAUACAUUAAAAAUAAAAAUCGAG